CUUUUGGUCUAUCUACAUUCCAGGAAGUUCAUACGCUCCGCGGACGGAGCAAAAAGUGGAGUCUUGGUCAGAGCAAGCCGCCCUAUUCUAUUACCAGACAUAAUUGGGAGAAGCUCAUCCGAAACUAGAGCUAGAAACGCUUUAUUUCGUUUCGUUCCCGUUCUUCAUUUCCUUCUUCUCGAAUCCAAGGGGGACUUCUCAUAUUUAGAAUCUUGAUCUCAUCCGAAAAAAGAGCUAGAAACGCUUUAUUGCGUUUCGGUUCCGUUCUUCAUUUCCUUCUUCUCGAAUCCAUGGGGGACUUCUAGUAUUUAGAAUCUUUCUACGGUGUGCUCCAUUUACUAUUCUUUCGUACUUUCUUCUUUUUACCACGCAAGGUCAGGGAAGCCUGAGCGGGCACGGAGAAGGAAAGGCCAAACACAUCGGCCUAACGGGAAUGAGCAACGACGAAAUGAUAAGAUGAGGUGCCUCGGGCACGCCCAAUUAGAAAGAAGGGUCAAAGGUUUUGGGCCUGUAGCUUUCCCCGUCCCCCUUUGUCGGGUGGUGCUUGUGUGGAGGGUGCGCCACCUGAAAUUGGGCUUGAAUCUCUCCCCUUACUAACAAGCCUAGAGCUGAUGGCUGUUGGUCACGACUACUAUCAAAGAGCUCCUAUGAAGAUGAAUAUUUCACAUGGAGGAGUGUGCAUCUUUGUGUUGGGUGUUCUUCUGUCGUGCGACCUGGCGGUUUAUGUGCGACCUGUAGCCCACACCUCCUAUUUGUUCAGGGCGAGCGGCGUGAACUCUGAUUCGAUCCGGGUAUUCAAUCCCACCGCUGAGAGCUCAGUUGACUCCUUAACCUUGAUAGGAAGAUGACAUAUUCAAUAAUUCGUGCAUAAGGGUAAGGAACCUUAGAUGAACUAACGAGAAUGGGUGUAAGCCUCGCUGCUCGGAAACACCCAGCGCUGACCACAGUGAGUGACACAAAAGCGUAGGUAACGCCAGUUGGCGAAGUGGCGUUAAGCAUCCCUAGCGGUACGGAAAGAGGGGUCGUGAUGAUAUCAUAUACGUCCGUACCGCUCCUCGUGGAGUAGAUCCCGCAUCAAACCAAGUCUUUUUGACCAGGGAAUGGGAGAAUUCCCACUACCACUGGCAGGCCAGCGCGGGCCGUGAGCGCGGCGGGAACAGGCUUCCCAAGAAGCCAGCCUGGGCCGGGGUCAGCAUAGAAUGAAGGGGAUGUCCCUAAUCUUCUGUUGGCUUUGCCAACUAAUUGGGUUGCGGGCAGAGAAAAGCGUACGUGGGGACUCGGGUCGGGGCGCAGCGUAACUACGAGAGCCAUUCAAUUUAGGGAGAAAUAAAAUGGGCGGGCACGGGCGGUCUGGUGUCCGAGACAAUUGGUCAGACGACGACUACUUCACUUAUUAUUUUAGUAUUAGCCGCCUAUCCCGAAAUGGAAUGGGAUGGAAUAGAAAGAACGCGAAGCGCUAGCGCUACAGGGUCGGUUUUUUUGGGGAGAUAGGCUUGUGAAGAAGCAAGCUUAUCCCCGCCCCGACCGGCAGCUGCUAGGUUUCCCCAUCUCUUCUAAACUUCCCCCGGUCUUCGGCCCGAGCUGUAUGAGGCAAAAACUCGUCCCACGUACGGUUCGGAGGCCGAGCCCCACCCCAGCAGUAAGGGUGCGGCUUAGGUCAACUAACACAAAAAAGAUACAGUUCACUCAACGAUUGCCUUUGGGUUCCGAACUCCAUAUGGGGAAGGAGCGUUGUUGUUUGCGAGGUCUUGAUCAUUUACAUGGACCCACUUUUCAUUCCAUUUGUGGGAAUUUGAUGAUCUAUAAACCGUCCCUAACGAGCGAUCGGCUCAUGUUUGAGCAUGAUGAAUCACUUCGUGCCGACCUGUUGCCAAUCCACUUUCCGGCCUCAUAUGAGAAUGGAAAACUGGAGCAUUUUUUCCAUCGGUGGAUGAAGAAUCGCGAACAUAAUAAUUUCUGGUUGACCAUGUUCCAGGAAUUUGAUGAUCUAUAGACCGUCCCUAACGAGCGAUCGGCUCAUGUUUGAGGAUGAUGAAUCACUUCGUGCCGACCUGUUGCCAAUCCACUUUCCGGCCUCAUAUGAGAAUGGAAAACUGGAGCAUUUUUUCCAUCGGUGGAUGAAGAAUCGCGAACAUAAUAAUUUCUGGUUGACUAUAUUCCCAGCAAAAAAUAUACUUUCGAGAAAGGACGAGCACGACU
rnacentral:lncRNA from 1 species